rnacentral:rRNA from 1 species
ACGAACGCUGGCGGCGUGCUUAACACAUGCAAGUCGAACGGAAAGGCCCUGCUUUUGUGGGGUGCUCGAGUGGCGAACGGGUGAGUAACACGUGAGUAACCUGCCCUUGACUUUGGGAUAACUUCAGGAAACUGGGGCUAAUACCGGAUAGGAGCUCCUGCUGCAUGGUGGGGGUUGGAAAGUUUCGGCGGUUGGGGAUGGACUCGCGGCUUAUCAGCUUGUUGGUGGGGUAGUGGCUUACCAAGGCUUUGACGGGUAGCCGGCCUGAGAGGGUGACCGGCCACAUUGGACUGAGAUACGGCCCAGACUCCUACGGGAGGCAGCAGUGGGGAAUAUUGCACAAUGGGCGGAAGCCUGAUGCAGCAACGCCGCGUGCGGGAUGACGGCCUUCGGGUUGUAAACCGCUUUCGCCUGUGACGAAGCGUGAGUGACGGUAAUGGGUAAAGAAGCACCGGCUAACUACGUG